rnacentral:tRNA from 1 species
GGCUAGAUGGCAGAAUGGUAAUGUAUAAGAUUGCAAAUCUUUUAAUGUUGGUUCAAUUCCAACUCUAGCUU